GAUGAACGCUGACAGAAUGCUUAACACAUGCAAGUCAACUUGAAUUUGGGUUUUUAACUUAGGUUUGGGUGGCGGACGGGUGAGUAACGCGUAAAGAACUUGCCUCACAGCUAGGGACAACAUUUGGAAACGAAUGCUAAUACCUAAUAUUAUGAUAAUAGGGCAUCCUAUAAUUAUGAAAGCUAUAAGCGCUGUGAGAGAGCUUUGCGUCCCAUUAGCUAGUUGGAGAGGUAACGGCUCACCAAGGCGAUGAUGGGUAGCCGGCCUGAGAGGGUGAUCGGCCACAAGGGGACUGAGACACGGCCCUUACUCCUACGGGAGGCAGCAGUGGGGAAUAUUGGACAAUGGACCGAGAGUCUGAUCCAGCAAUUCUGUGUGCACGAUGAAGUUUUUCGGGAUGUAAAGUGCUUUCAGUUGGGAAGAAACAAAUGACGGUACCAACAGAAGAAGUGACGGCUAAAUACGUG
rnacentral:rRNA from 1 species